rnacentral:rRNA from 1 species
GACGAACGCUGGCUGCGUGCUUAACACAUACAAGUCGAGCGCUGAAGCCCCAGCUUGCUGGGGUGGAUGAGUGGCGAACGGGUGAGUAACACGUGAGUAACCUGCCCCUGACUUCGGGAUAAGCCCGGGAAACUGGGUCUAAUACCGGAUACGACUAUCGGACGCAUGUCUGGUGGUGGAAAGUUUUUUCGGUUGGGGAUGGGCUCGCGGCCUAUCAGUUUGUUGGUGAGGUAAUGGCUCACCAAGACGACGACGGGUAGCCGGCCUGAGAGGGCGACCGGCCACACUGCGACUGAGACACGGCGCAGACUCCUACGGGAGGCAGCAGUGGGGAAGAUUGCACAAUGGGGGAAACACUGAUGCAGCGACGCAGCGUGCGGGAUGACGGCCUUCGGGUUGUAAACCGCUGUCAGCAGGGAAGAAGCCUUCGGGUGACGGUACCUGCAGAAGAAGUACCGGCUAACUACGUG